UUCCCGUCGACGAGCUCAGAGUUUGAUCCUGGCUCAGAUUGAACGCUGGCGGCAGGCCUAACACAUGCAAGUCGAGCGGUAACAGAUCUAGCUUGCUAGAUGCUGACGAGCGGCGGACGGGUGAGUAAUGCAUAGGAAUCUGCCCGAUAGUGGGGGAUAACCUGGGGAAACCCAGGCUAAUACCGCAUACGUCCUACGGGAGAAAGGGGGCUUCGGCUCCCGCUAUUGGAUGAGCCUAUGUCGGAUUAGCUAGUUGGUGAGGUAAAGGCUCACCAAGGCAACGAUCCGUAGCUGGUCUGAGAGGAUGAUCAGCCACAUCGGGACUGAGACACGGCCCGAACUCCUACGGGAGGCAGCAGUGGGGAAUAUUGGACAAUGGGGGCAACCCUGAUCCAGCCAUGCCGCGUGUGUGAAGAAGGCCCUCGGGUUGCAAAGCACUUUCAGCGAGGAAGAACGCCUGGCGGUUAAUACCCGCCAGGAAAGACAUCACUCGCAGAAGAAGCACCGGCUAACUCCGUGCCAGCAGCCGCGGUAAUACGGAGGGUGCAAGCGUUAAUCGGAAUUACUGGGCGUAAAGCGCGCGUAGGUGGCUUGAUAAGCCGGUUGUGAAAGCCCCGGGCUCAACCUGGGAACGGCAUCCGGAACUGUCAGGCUAGAGUGCAGGAGAGGAAGGUAGAAUUCCCGGUGUAGCGGUGAAAUGCGUAGAGAUCGGGAGGAAUACCAGUGGCGAAGGCGGCCUUCUGGACUGACACUGACACUGAGGUGCGAAAGCGUGGGUAGCAAACAGGAUUAGAUACCCUGGUAGUCCACGCCGUAAACGAUGUCGACCAGCCGUUGGGUGCCUAGAGCACUUUGUGGCGAAGUUAACGCGAUAAGUCGACCGCC
rnacentral:rRNA from 1 species